rnacentral:rRNA from 1 species
GACGAACGCUGGCGGCGCGCUUAACACAUGCAAGUCGAACGGAAAGGCCUGCUUUCCCUUGUGGAUUGCGGGUACUCGAGUGGCGAACGGGUGAGUAACACGUGAGUGAUCUGCCCCCAACUUGGGUAUAAGCCUGGGAAACUGGGUCUAAUUCCCGAUAGGACUGCAGGGUGGUGCCUGUGGUGGAAAACGAUUUUCUAGUGGUUGGGGAUGAGCUCGCGGCCUAUCAGCUUGUUGGUGGGGUAAUGGCCUACCAAGGCGGCGACGGGUAGACGGCCUGAGAGGGUGGACGGCCACAUUGGGACUGAGAUACGGCCCAGACUGCUACGGGAGGCAGCAGCGGGGAAUAUUGCACAAUGGGCGGAAGCCUGAUGCAGCGACGCCGCGUGGGGGAUGACGGCCUUCGGGUUGUAAACUCCUUUCGACCGAGAGGAAGCCACCUGGUUGGAAGGGUGGUGACGGUAGUGGUAGAAGAAGCACCGGCUAACUACGUG